GAUGAACGCUGGCGGCGUGCCUAAUACAUGCAAGUCGAGCGAAUGGAUUAAGAGCUUGCUCUUAUGAAGUUAGCGGCGGACGGGUGAGUAACACGUGGGUAACCUGCCCAUAAGACUGGGAUAACUCCGGGAAAACGGGGCUAAUACCGGAUAAUAUUUUGAACUGCAUGGUUCAAAAUUGAAGGGCGGCUUCGGCUGUCACUUAUGGAUGGACCCGCGUCGCAUUAGCUAGUUGGUGAGGUAACGGCUCACCAAGGCAACGAUGCGUAGCCGACCUGAGAGGGUGAUCGGCCACACUGGGACUGGGACACGGCCCAGACUCCUACGGGAGGCAGCAGUAGGGAAUCUGCCGCAAUGGACGAAAGUCUGACGGAGCAACGCCGCGUGAGUGAUGAAGGCUUUCGGGUCGUAAAACUCUGUUGUUAGGGAAGAACAAGUGCUAGUUGAAUAAGCUGGCACCUUGACGGUACCUAACCAGAAAGCCACGGCUAACUACGUGCCAGCAGCCGCCGUAA
rnacentral:rRNA from 1 species